rnacentral:rRNA from 1 species
GACGAACGCUGGCGGCGUGCUUAACACAUGCAAGUCGAACGGAAAGGCCCUGCUUUUGUGGGGUGCUCGAGUGGCGAACGGGUGAGUAACACGUGAGUAACCUGCCCUUGACUUUGGGGUAACUUCAGGAAACUGGGGCUAAUACCGGAUAGGAGCUCCUGCUGCAUGGUGGGGGUUGGAAAGUUUCGGCGGUUGGGGAUGGACUCGCGGCUUAUCAGCUUGUUGGUGGGGUAGUGGCUUACCAAGGGUUUGACGGGUAGCCGGCCUGAGAGGGUGACCGGCCACAUGGGGACUACGAUACGGCCCAGACGCCUACGGGAGGCAGCAGGGGGGAAUAUUGCACAAUGGGCGGAAGCCUGAUGCAGCAACGCCGCGUGCGGGAUGACGGCCUUCGGGUUGUAAACCGCUUUCGCCGGUGACGAAGCGUGAGUGACGGUAAUGGGUAAAGAAGCAACGGCUAACUACGUG